rnacentral:rRNA from 1 species
UACGGGAGUGGCAAGCGUUAUCCGGAAUUAUUGGGCGUAAAGCGUCCGCAGGCGGCCUUUCAAGUCUGCUGUUAAAACGUGGAGCUUAACUCCAUCAUGGCAGUGGAAACUGUUGGGCUUGAGUGUGGUAGGGGCAGAGGGAAUUCCCGGUGUAGCGGUGAAAUGCGUAGAUAUCGGGAAGAACACCAGUGGCGAAGGCGCUCUGCUGGGCCAUCACUGACGCUCAUGGACGAAAGCCAGGGGAGCGAAAGGG